UACGGGGGGGGCAAGCGUUGUUCGGAAUUACUGGGCGUAAAGGGCGCGUAGGCGGCCUACUAAGUCAGACGUGAAAUCCCCCGGCUUAACCUGGGAACUGCGUCUGAUACUGGAAGGCUUGAGUAUGGGAGAGGGAUGUAGAAUUCCAGGUGUAGCGGUGAAAUGCGUAGAUAUCUGGAGGAAUACCGGUGGCGAAGGCGGCAUCCUGGACCAUUACUGACGCUGAGGCGCGAAAGCUAGGGGAGCAAACGGG
rnacentral:rRNA from 1 species